CUUUCUUCAGCAGCCCUCAACCACUACAGUCUCUCUCGUCCAAGUUUGUGGCGCAGACGUUCCUUGUGCCCGAAGUCGCGCGGAACGAUAUUAACGUAAAGGACCGGAAUGUGUUCCUGGUGGGAAAGAAGGCCACUGGCAAGAUGAUGAUUGUAAAGUGAUGCUGUUACAGUGGACACAUGGGGACAUCUGGGAAGGCGUCUACCCCACCUCAGAUGUUCCCCCGGGAAUAAUAGUUAGCCCCUUCCAUUUCUGGGUUUUCCAGGUGACUCAGAGGUCCUUGGACAACCUGACUUUGAAAUUAACAGACAUCCCCCGACCUGGCUGGGAGUCUGAGAUGGAGAGCAGCAUGUGAUCAACACUGAGAAUCUGUUUUGGCCUGAAGAGGGAAGGCAGGAAGAAUGACAUGGAGAAGAGGCACAUACUCUGUGUGGGACCGAGGCUGUAACCCUCCCACAGUUUUAUCUUUCUGCAGGUCGACCUGUGUCUCGGUGCAUACCCGGUUUGAAGACGUGUUCAAGUCUAUUGUUCAUAACCAGAAUCGGAUGUCCCUGAGCCUGGACUGUGUGCCCCAUUCCCUAGAGAUGGUCUCACUUUUGGGUGAGGCCUUGGAGAAUCCACUUUGCAGCAUAUGCAGCAUCUGAGAUUACUACAGUUUCACAUUAAGAUGAUGGUGAUGCAGAGAUUCCAGCGAAUCCUCAGAACAGAUCCUUCAGGAAUAACAGCAGAAGCCCCUCUGAGGCCACUAAACGCGACAGGCUGAGAGCUCCAUGGCCCAGCGAGGUAGGGUCUGCGAGCCCCACGCCAGCUUGAAGAAACUACAGGAGAGAGACCUUCACCCUUCAGCCUCCCAAUAAAGAUUUCUGGGGUUCAUGUCUCUCAGAGGGAUUUGAGGUGGGAGAUAGAGCGGCCUCUGGGCUGGACUGCUGGUGUUUGUCAAGUGGAGUGAAGCUGAAGCUUUGUUUUCACCCAGACACUCAAGGUAAUGGCAGAGGCUGAGCUCUGCUGGGAUAAGGAGAUAAGGUGCCUACGCCUGAGGUCAAGGAGGACUUCCCUGUCUGCACAAGCGCGGGUAGGCUCCUCGGGGGCCACAAAGGGAGGGGGUCCCACCCCACAGUAAGUGUGGACAUGCAUCCACAGGCUUCUACUGUGCGGUCAAUCUUAGCAAAAAGUUGUGCCCACAUCUUGGGCAGGGUCCUAGACGAGUCAGGUGUGUGUGAAGAAAGAAACGAGAUGAUUGGUGAAAGGUAAGCAAAGGUGCGGAAGGACUGUCCUGUGUGAGGGACUUACCUCACCUCCUUCUGUGCUCCUUGGGAGGCCAGGCUUCCCUCCGCUGUGUGUCUGUCCUGCUUCCAUCUUAGACUGGGCUUCUGUAUUCCCUACCACAGGUUGUGCUGUGUCCAUAAUAAUGGGCUUUAUAUAUGUAUUUACACCUCUUGCCUCCUUAAAAUAGUCUUGGUUUCAAACGGGGGAAAGAUGCAGGGUCACUUUGCUUCCAGCCUCUGGCCACUGGUGGUCUCAUGGUUGGGAGUCCUGGUGUUCAUCCAGGCUACCCAGGUUCAAUUACUGAGCAGGGAGCUAAGAUUUCUCUUCAGGACCGUUCACUGCUAUCUCUCCAAGAUCGUGAGCAUGUUUUUCAGUUGCUGUGGCUGGAAAAGGCAUUAUUUGAUCCUAUUUUACAGUAGAAUAACACUGCCUUUGUAUCUGAACUGCAUCUUCUUUACUGUCAUCUCUCCUCGUAACGUACGUUGCUUAGCUGUCUUGGUUAUUAUUCCUAGUGCUGCUAAUGUCGUUGAGGUGCAGCUGUCUUCAGAAAAAUAUUAGCUUUCUCCAGAUCUCUCCCUAGGCAUGGAAGCUAAAUAGAUGACACUGUAUAUAGUCCUAUGUUUAUUUUUUAAAUUUACUAUUCAUUGGUGGAUAAUAGCUUUGAAGUUUUGUGAUGGUUUUUCACUUACCUGCAGCCCACCAGUGAUUUUAACUUAUUUUGAGUAGAGUUGAUUUAAGAUGCAUAGGCCGUAGCGAAGACUGACUCAGAGGCUGAGUGAGGAACAGACUAGGGCCUUCCUUUGUGAGGACCAGUUAGAACUGUGUUACGAUGAGACCGGCCUUUGAUAUCACCAGAGUCAGGCCUUGACGUGGACCAGAGUAAGACCCAAGACUAGAAUCAGGCCUUAGUGUGGCCACAGUCAGGCCUGAGUGAGUACCAGGGUCAAGAAUAAGUCAGGCCCAGGGUCAGGCCUUAGUGUGGAUCUUAGUAAGGCGUUAGUGUGGACCAGAGUCAGGCCUAAGUGAGUACAAGGGUCAGGGAUAUGUAAGUACCAGAGGCCGGCCAUGGUGUGGACUAGAGUCAGGCCUUAGUGUUGGCCAGAGUCAGAUCUUAGUGAGUACCAGAGUCAGGCCUCCUGUGGACCAGAGUCAGGCUUUAGUGUGGACGAGAGUCUGGUCUUAGUGUGCACCACAGUCAGACCUUUCUGUGGACCAGCGUCAGCCCUUACUGUGGACCAGAAUCAGUCCUAGGGGAUACCACAGUCAGGCCUUAGUGUGCCCCAGAGUGAGACCUUAGUGUGGUCCAUAGUCAGGCCUUAGGGUGGACCAGAGUCAGGCCUAGUGUGAACCAGAGUCAAAUGUUAGUGAGUACCACAGUCAGGCCUUAGUGUCUGUGAGGGUCAGGCCUUAGUGUGCACCAGGGUCAGGCAUUAGUGUGGCCCAGAGCCAGGCCUUAGUGUAGACAAGAGGCCUUAGUGUUCACCAGGAGUCGGGCAUUAGAGCGUAGCAGAGUGAGGCCUAUGUGAGGACUGGACUCAGGCCUCAGUGAUGAACCAGAGUCAGGCCUGAGUGUAGACCAGUGUCAGGUCUCGGUCUCGAGCAGAGUCAGGCCUCAGAGUGGAUCAGAGUCAGGCCUUAGUGUGGACCAGAUCAGAGUCGAGCCUUUGUUGGACCAAGGUGAGGCCUUAGUGUGGACCAGAGUGAGGCCUAAGUGAGGACUGGAGUCAGGCCUCAGUUUGGACCAGACCCAGGCCUCAGUGAUAACCAGAGUUAGGCCUAACUGUGGACCAGAGUCAGGCCUCAGUGCGUAUAAAUUCAGGACUCAAUGUGGAUGAGGGUCAGGCCUGUGUGGACCAGAGUGCAGCCUCAGAGUGGUCCACAGUCAGGCCUCAGUUUGACCGGGGCCAGGCCUGAGUGUGGAUGAGAAACAGCCCUCUGUAAGAGGCAAAGGCAGGCCUGACUGUGGACCAGGGCCAGACCUAGGUGUGGACCAGAGUCAGGCCUCAGGGUGGACCAGACGUAGGCUUCUGUGUG